CGCAGUGAAAGCAUGUCACGGAUUCCCCUCCGCUGCUCUUUUACCUUGUCGGUGACCUGAAACAGAGAUUCAGACAGGCAGCCUGGGGAGCUGGUACCUUCAGCUGCUGCGGUCAGACUGAGUAUAGCCCACCUAGGAGGACCCUUGGCCCAGGAGUCUCUACUCUUGCGGAACUUAAAAUGAUGUGGCUGGUUGACUGAGGACUGCUAAGUCUCUGGAACUGGUGCUGGAGAAUUCUAGGGUUGCUGCAAGAGAGCUUGUGCAGAGCUGUCACACCAAGCUGACAGGAACACUUCAAGUUGUCUAAAACUUUGGAACUAGACAGGAGAAAACCAGACUCACCUGAUACCCUCCCAAGGUGUAGGGAAGAAAGAGGAAAACUACUAUGGCUCCUGAAGGAGCAGAUUCGACUGCUUAUGAGUGGCAGUGAACUGGAAACCAAAAGACUGCAUAAACAUACAAUGUUGAGGCUGAACUCAAGUGAGUAUUGGGUUGAUUUGAGAGCUGGGGGAUGAAGUGACCUGCUGAGCUGAGGACUGGAUAGCCAGAAUGGUUGGAUACAGACUGUUGAACUAUUAGAGCUUCAGAAAGAUAUUUUUAUAUCUUUAAGAUUUGAAAGACCUUAUAUUACAAUUUUUGAAAGCUUUUAACUGUUUGUGAAAAAUCUGCUGUUCUACUGAUUUCAGUGGAAAUUUCAGUAGAGAAAUUUGAAGUUCAAUGAAAAAUUAUUUCAAGUUUUCAAUUUUAGCUUUUAUUUAUUUUGAAGGAUUACUUACUAUUUGGGAACAAUACUUGUGAGUGUCUCUGUGUAAGUGUUUAUUUCAAGGAAAACAGUUGAACUGAAAAAACUGUAAUAUGACUGUUUUUUCAUGUUUGUCUAAGAAAAAUAAAUAUUCUUUUUAUUUUGGUGACUGUUAUAAGGCUUUCCAGGUUUCUUUCCUCUCUGAAUUUGAACACCAACAUCAAUAUGUGAUGUGAACAUUAAUCUGGAACACUUCUAAUUGUAUAUGGUUUCAGUUUAAGAAUCAAAAAAAUAUUCGGAAUAGGCAAAGUUCCUGAAUUUUCAUUGCACUUGAGGUUUUUUAUCCCAAACAAAUGUUCAUAAUGCCUCACAUGUUGUAUGUAUUAAUUAUUGUGUGUAAUAUGGCUUGGUCAAGAUAAUGCAUACAGUAAGAGGCCCCA